rnacentral:rRNA from 1 species
GACGAACGCUGGCGGCGUGCUUAACACAUGCAAGUCGAGCGGUAAGGCCCUUUCGGGGGUACACGAGCGGCGAACGGGUGAGUAACACGUGGGUGACCUGCCCUCAGCUCUGGGAUAAGCCUGGGAAACCGGGUCUAAUACUGGAUAUGACUCCAUGACGCAUGUUGUGGGGUGGAAAGCCUUGUGCGGCUGAGGAUGGGCCCGCGGCCUAUCAGCUUGUCGGUGGGGUGANGGCCUACCAAGGCGACGACGGGUAGCCGGCCUGAGAGGGCGACCGGCCACACUGGGACUGAGACACGGCCCAGACUCCUACGGGAGGCAGCAGUGGGGAAUCUUGCGCAAUGGGCGAAAGCCUGACGCAGCGACGCCGCGUGAGGGAUGACGG